UUUGUAUAUGAAAAUUAAAAGCCAUUUCUUAUCACCGACAGAGCUUUGCUGGUAUCGAAAUAAGAUGGAGGCUUCAUUAUGGUCUGAAUUUUGGGGUUUCAUGGAUUUUGUAUACUCAGAGCAGUAGUUGUUUGAUGGUAUCUUUAUAAAGACGUGAAUGGAGAUGGUGUGGAGCUUCUUCAAAUAAACUGAUAUCGUUUGCCAACACCUAAAAUGGGUUCGACAGUUUUGAGUUUGUCCUAAUACAAAUGGCACCCCAAAUCACUGCUUCUACGGGUAUGAAAAAUCACAAAUAUUGUUGAAAUAUCAAAUACUGCUGUUAAACAAAGACUCGGGUACGGCAGUAUAUGAAUUGCAAUCACCUGUGACCAGAGAUGAGCUUGCAGCUGAGGUAUUCAUCCUCUUUUUCUCUGUAAAAUAUUUUUUUCUUAACAAACACCGAGCAAAUUAAACUGACAUAAUGUAAGUUACUACCAUUCAUCACUAUUUACAACUAGUUGACAUCACACUUAUUCAUUUUAACAUCUUGAAAUGGUAGUAUAGUCCCCAAAUCAGUCUUUUGAUUUACUGAAUUCUGGGUAUGUGGUUAUACUGUCAAAUUUCAUCAAGGUCUCCCUUUUGUUUUCUUCUUCAAAUGUUGAUAGUUGUAAACUGUCUGGUGGCGAGGCAACUUUGUGCGAACUCCAGCCAGAAAACUUGUACAUAAUUGAACCUUUCUCAUUUGAGGUGUCACUGCAUCUGCCAAAAUCAAUUCCACUGCCAGACGGAAAGGUACAAGGGACUCUAGAUGUUAAAGUCAGAGGAAAAUAAAUUAGUAUGUUUUCUAAAAUACAUUUCUGACUUGUCUAUAAUGUUCUUUUCAUGGAAAAACUAUAAGUUUUUUACAUAGUCAUUAACACAAGUGAAUGUUGUAUUAUUCAAUUUGCCGCAUGAACAAAAACUUAAGGCAAAUGUUCACUGUGAACUCUUGGUUUAAAACAAGAGGUGAUUGGUGGCGGCAAAGUUAGGGGUUUAUGUUGGAUGAAUUGAUUUUCAUGUUUCUGAAAUUGAGUUCUUGAUCUCAAUUGAUAAAUGAAAUUGCAUCAACGAAGUAAGGUCCGUAUGUCAGCUGGAUUGGGUUUAUUUGGGGUAACUGAUUUACUCUUUGAUCAGUGGAGGAAGGUUAUUAGCCGGUCAUGGAGAUGAAACUGAGCUCACUGGCGGUCAUUCUUUAGUAACCACUGUCUAAAAUGUGCUGGGUGAAUGGGUUUUCUGUGGGGAUAUUUUUAUAAAUCACACUGAGACUGUAUGGGUUUUUGACAAGCCUUGGUCUGGGUGAAAUUCAGAAGUUUAGAGAAUGGGCAGUGGAUGGACUUGGUAAUGGCUUGAAUUUUGAAACUAGAUUUAGUGUUGGAUUGGGUCGCAAGUACCCUAUUUGCUCGGUCCAUAUUGGAUACUUUUGUACCACCUAUAGAAGUAUCAGUCUAGACAAACUCAAGAGGAGGCCGUCUUCAAAACAGAGUCGUAAAUAAGGAAAGUUGCAUCUGUGUUUCUGACUAUGAUGAUGGAGCCGAGGUGCGUAAGCUUCCUUGCUGACACCAUUUUCACUGUGCCUGCAUUAUAGUCAUGCUGUUAUUACAGUGAGCAUUCUGUAUCAGUGUUUUUUUUUGAAGUUGAAGCAGCUAGGUCUACUGUGGACUCUUCACAUGCUGCAGCAGUCAAACAAGUACAUCAUCUGGAAAUUUCAAUGGAAGAUUUUACAACUCAUGGGUCUUUUGCAUCUCUUGAUAAUCAGUGGCAUGACAGCAGUCGUGAAGUUCAAGCUUCCAUUAAAGAAAAUGAUUAUGGAACUAUCGAUAAGGCUUACAGGCUGCUGCUAAAUCUUACAGGUCUGUGAAGCAGCAUUGAUAGCAACUGAUUCUAAGGAAAUUAAGCUUGGUGACAACUUAUGGUUUCAGUUUCUGUACACUGCUUAUUAGCCAAGUCUGAAGCUGCUGAAGCUUUAGACAUGAAAGAUUGCUCUGGAUUGGGCUUUGGGCUACACCUUGAAAUGACUUUUUAACAAGCACUGGUUUGAUUAUAGGUUUUGUGGAUCAAUCUUUUAAACUGUAGCUUGAAAAUCUUUGUUUUCUCUUAUCAUAGACUUAAAAGGCUUAAAAUCCAAUAGGGAGCAAUGAUCAGAUAAAAUCAUCAGAUUUGCGUCACUAGCAGUCAACGAUUAUUCUGUAAAGGGUCAUAGUUUGAGUCACGGAAUAUUCGGAUUUGCAGACCACAAUUUGUCUUGCCACUAACAAAGUUUUUAACGACAAAAUUUGAGAUUUGCUUCGUAUUCA